rnacentral:tRNA from 1 species
CAGAACAUGGCUAAAUGAAGUAAAGCGUCUCCGUUACACUGAGAAGAUUAUUCGUGCAACCCGAAUUGUUCUGA